AGAGUAAUAGCUCCGUGGUAGAGCACAUGCUUAGCAAGCGUGAGGUCAUGGGUUCAAUUCCCAGUACCUCCA
rnacentral:tRNA from 1 species